rnacentral:lncRNA from 1 species
AUGGGCUGCCACGGUGAGGGAGGAAGGGUGAGAAGGAAGGACAGAAGGCGUCAGGGCUGGCUUCGCACCAUAGCAGCGGGCUGUGCUGGAGCCUGUGUUGCUGAUUGUUCUCUUCCCUGGAGCAGUUCAACGUGUAGAAGCGUAGCGAGGGCAUUGGCAGCUUUUACCUCAGCAUCAUCCAGCCCUGCUGAGAGGCACUCGACGCAGAACGGUGCUAAAAUGCUGGCAGAGCCUUUUGACCCUACCAUGGCCUCUAAUCUAAAAGUCAUCUUCCUGUUUCUUUGGUCGCUUCUCUGUGAAGGGGGAGAUGUCAAGGUACAGCAGAAUCCUCUAAUCCAAGUUGCACUGCUCAAGGAAGAAGUGUCCAUCCCCUGUGAAGUCACCUUCCUUUACACCCUGAAAUACACCAAAUUUUCAAUCUUCUAUUACUGGUUUAAUUCAUCGGGUCAGAGGACAUCCAUCUAUAAUCGGGAAGAAAAUGUACAAAUCCCCCCUGGAAAAGAGAAUACGUCCAUAACCAAAUCCUACAAUCACAAAACCAUGCCACUUGAAAGCCACUCUUCUGGCACCUACUAUUGUGAGGUCCAGUGGAGUGACAUCCAGAAAAUGGGAAAUGGAGUGUAUAUCCUUGUGAGAGGGCUCACCGUAAUGCCUCCCCCUUUUCCAUGUGGCUACAAGGGGUCGGUUGUUCUGUUGAUGCACAGCCUAGAAAACAAGGGAGAGCUUCUGGCCAAGAUAAGAGGAACGCUACAAGGCCGUGCAUGCUGCUGA